GCGCCGGUGGUGUAAGGCGAACAUCGCUGCCCGGAAAGCAGAAGAUGCGGGUUCAAGUUGCGCCUGGCGCA
rnacentral:tRNA from 1 species